AGUGGAGAGUGGCUGCUGCUUAUAAACCGGCUUGAUUGCAGAUGAGGAGCAGGUGUGUCUGUGUGUCUGUGUGAGUGUCUUUGCAGGUCUGGGUCGUCAAGGUGAUGGGCUGCACCUGGAGCAGUCGUUAUAAAGAGCUCUCCCAGCCGGCGUGGUCUCUCUCUGGUCGGGCACUCCUCUGCUCUCAUCCCGUGGGCGGCACCGCGGCGCGGCGCUCCUGUUUUGUUUUCGUUGUGCACAAUUUAUUUACUUUUGUAAUAAAUUUGUAAUCACUUUUGUAUA